GGGAGUGAGGGGGCUUACAGCUGUGCGCUUUGAGACCUGCAGUGCGCAGCUUCGGGGCGCAGUGAAAGGAGGUCGGAUCCGGAAAUGCUUCCUCUUUUCUUGGGAGACUCAGCCAUGAGCACAGAGAAGCUCUGCUCCUCGAUUCAUCUGAAAAUCAACAAGCCUGGUUCUUGAUUAACCUUCACCACAAAGAUGUGCAGGUGAAGAUGGAAAAUGUGAUCUGUGAGUGGUACACCUGAUAAGAUGUCAGGUUACCACUACGUAGGACAGAUGGCCAAAUAUACACUGCUCAAAAAAAAAAAUAAAGGGAACACUUAAACAACACAAUGUAACUCCAAGUCAGUCACACUUCUGUGAAAUCAAACUGUCCACUUAGGAAGCAACGCUGAUUGACAGUCAAUUUCACAUGAUGUUGUGCAAACGGAAUAGACAACAGGUGGAAAUUGACACCCCCAAUAAAAGACUGGUUCUGCAGGUGGUGACCACAGACCACUUCUCAGUUCCUAGGCUUUCUGGCUGAUGUUUUGGUCACUUUAGAAUGCUGGCGGUGCUUUCACUCUAGUGGUAGCAUGAGACAGAGUCUACAACCCACGCAAGUGGCUCAGGUAGGGCAGCUCAUCCAGGAUGGCACAUCAAUGCAAGCUGUGGCAAGGAGAUUUGCUGUGUCUGUCAGUGUAGUGUUCAGAGCAUGGAGGCCAUAGGAGGGCAACAACCCGGCAGCAGGAGCACUGCCAGAGCCCUGCAAAAUGACCUCCAGCAGGCCACAAAUGUGCAUGUGUCUGCUCAAAUGGUCCGAAACAGACUUGAUGAGGGUGGUAUGAGGGCCUGAUGUCCACAGGUGGGGGUUGUGCUUACAGCCCAACACUGUGCAGAACGUUUGGCAUUUGCCAGAGAACACCAAGACUGGUGUUCCCUCCAUGUGCUCUUCAGAGGUAGCCUGACUGCCAUUAGGUACCGAGAUGAGAUCCUCAGACCCCUUGUGAGACCAUAAGCUGGUGCGGUUGGCCCUGGGUUCCUCCUAAUGCAAGACAAUGCUAGACCUCAUGUGGCUGGAGUGUGUCAGCAGUUCCUGCAAGACAAAGGCAUUGAUGCUAUGGACUGGCCCACCCGUUCCCCACACCUGAAUCCAAAUGAGCACAUCUGGGACAUCAUGUCUCGCUCCAUCCACCGUCAUGUUGCACCUCAGACUGUCCAGGAGUUGGCGGGUGCUUUAGUCCAGGUCUGGGAGGAGAUCCCUUAGGCAACCAUCCACCACCUCAUCAGGAGCAUGCCCAGGCAUUGUAGGGAGGUCAUACAGGCACGUGGAGGCCACACACACUACUGAGCCUUAUUUGGACUUGUUUUAAGGACAUUACAUCAAAAUUGAAUCAGCCUGGUAGUGUGUUUUUCCACUUUUAUUAUUUAACCCUCCAUGGGUUAAUAAAUCUGGUUUACAUUGAUAAUUUUUGUGUGAUUUUGUUGUCAGCACAUUCAACUAUGUAAAGAACAAAGUAUUUAAUAAGAAUAUUUCAUUCAUUCAGAUCCAGGAUGUGUUGUUUUAGUGUUCUCUUUAUUUUUUUGAGCAGUGUAGGUUUUCACCACAUGGACCUUUAGCUGCUUCAGAUGUCGUGCUGUGAUCAUGAGAUGCACCAGAUGUAAUCCUUUCUCUUUUGUGCUGAUCAAAAGAUGACUCAUUGGAGAAGCAGUGGGACAAAAACACACUUAGUGUUAGCUUCAUCUCAGCUGUGGGUACAGAGCAAGCUAGCUGACCAGACCGUCCAUGGAGAAGCCUUAUUUGAAAGUGUUGUUGGAGCUGAUGGAUCACCAUUUGGAGUCUAGAGUUUAUUUGGAAUUUCUUCUUGAAGCUUAAUGCCAUCUGUUGAACACCAGCUGAUUAAAAUAUCUGCGCUUUAGCUACUUCAGGACAGACGCUGAUCUAUGCUCACGUCAUGAUCCACCUGCAGACCAUUUGCACUGUUUACCUCACUUACUCUGUACUGCCUCACUUUUGUACUACCUCCAGAACUAUAUUUGUUUUACUUAUUUUAUUUUACCUUAUUUUAUUUUAUUCUGUCAUAAUAUGUUACUCGUUCUUAUGUUCUGUGCACCAAUCACCAAGACAAAUUCCUAGUAAUAUGAAAACUCUCCACUUACAUGGCAGUAAAGACAAUUCUGAUUCUGAUUUAAUAAAACCUUACCUGUAUGGGGUGAAAAAUGCCUGGACGUGAUCUUUUGAAUGUGUAUUUUAGAUGUUUUCCUUUUUAAAAAUGUACUGGAUUCACAGUUUGGUUAACUAUUAACGUACCCCCUUUAUUGCCACUGAAUUAAAUUCAAGGUGUUUUUGUAUGCCUGCAUUGAUUUGAGUCUAUGACUACGAAGGAAUGAAGGAUACAAAACUAAAUGGUCGUCAUCAACUGGGUGUAUGGCUGGUGUGAUUUUUUUGUGCUCCCUACCCGUGUUUUUAAACCUUCAGAGAGGUCCUACUCCUCUGUGAUGUAAGUGUCUGCUCCCGGUGCGUAGGUGUAGAUGAAGCGUAGGAUAUUCUGGUGGAGCUCAUCCAGGGUCACGUCUCUCUUGUGCAAACCAUCCACAUCUCCCAGGUCACAAGGAAAUACUGCAUUUGGUGGAAUAACAAGAGCGGAGGCCCCUGUGGGAAGAAGCAGUACGGCACACUCUGC